rnacentral:rRNA from 1 species
GAUGAACGCUGGCGGCGUGCUUAACACAUGCAAGUCGAACGGAAAGGCCCCUGCUUGCAGGGGUACUCGAGUGGCGAACGGGUGAGUAACACGUGGGUGACCUGCCCUGCACUUCGGGAUAAGCCUGGGAAACUGGGUCUAAUACCGGAUAGGACCACAUUUUGGAUGGUGUGGUGGAAAGUUUUUUCGGUGUGGGAUGAGCUCGCGGCCUAUCAGCUUGUUGGUGGGGUAAGGGCCUACCAAGGCGUCGACGGGUAGCCGGCCUGAGAGGGUGUACGGGCACAUUGGGACUGAGAGACGGCCCAGACGCCUACGGGAGGCAGCAGUGGGGAAUAUUGCACAAUGGGCGCAAGCCUGAUGCAGCGACGCCGCGUGGGGGAUGACGGCCUUCGGGUUGUAAACUCCUUUCGCUAGGGACGAAGCGCAAGUGACGGUACCUGGAGAAGAAGCACCGGCUAACUACGUGCCAGCCGCCGCGGUAA